CUUAAAUUGAAGAGUUUGAUCAUGGCUCAGAUUGAACGCUGGCGGCAGGCCUAACACAUGCAAGUCGAGCGGAAACGAGUUAUCUGA
rnacentral:rRNA from 1 species